CCAUCAUUCAGUUGGGCACUCUAGAGAAACUGCCGGUGAUAAGCCGGAGGAAGGUGUGGAUGACGUCAAGUCCUCAUGGCCCUUACGGGUUGGGCUACACACGUGCUACAAUGGUGGUGACAAUGGGUUAAUCCCAAAAAGCCAUCUCAGUUCGGAUUGGGGUCUGCAACUCGACCCCAUGAAGUCGGAAUCGCUAGUAAUCGCGUAACAGCAUGACGCGGUGAAUACGUUCCCGGGCCUUGUACACACCGCCCGUCACACCAUGGGAAUUGGAUCUACCCGAAGGUGGUGCGCCAACC
rnacentral:rRNA from 1 species